rnacentral:tRNA from 1 species
GAUGUUAGGUCUGAAAAAGAAAUAAAUUGUAAAUUUAUUUAUAAAAAUAAUAAAAUUUUUUAACAUUA